rnacentral:rRNA from 1 species
CCCUCGGCGGGGGAUAACAUUCCGAAAGGAGUGCUAAUACCGCAUAAGACCACGACUCCGAAAGGAGUUGAGGUAAAAGCCGGCCUCUAUACAUAAGCUGGCACCUGAGUUCGAUGAGUCCGCGUCCCAUCAGCUAGUUGGUAGGGUAAUGGCCUACCAAGGCUAAGACGGGUAGCUGGUCUGAGAGGAUGAUCAGCCACACUGGAACUGAGACACGGUCCAG